rnacentral:rRNA from 1 species
GACGAACGCUGGCGGCGUGCUUAACACAUGCAAGUCGAACGGAAAGGCCCUGCUUUUGUGGGGUGCUCGAGUGGCGAACGGGUGAGUAACACGUGAGUAACCUGCCCUUGACUUUGGGAUAACUUCAGGAAACUGGGGCUACUACCGGAUAGGAGCUCCUGCUGCAUGGUGGGGGUUGGAAAGUUUCGGCGGUUGGGGAUGGACUCGCGGCUUAUCAGCUUGUUGGUGGGGUAGUGGCUUACCCAGUCUUUGACGGGUAGCCGGCCUUAGAAGGGGACCGGCCACAAUACGACUGAGAUACGGAGCAGUCGCGAACAGGAGACAAUGGUGGGGAAUAUUGCACAGUGGUCGCAAGUGUGAGAAGAAGGCGCCGGGGUCGUAAAGACGUCCUGUUGGGUGAGAAACGCAGCCGCCUAUUACGAAGCGGGAGUGACGGUAAUGAAUGAAUAAGCACCGGCUAACUACGUG